ensembl:lncRNA
UACAGGUCCGACAUAAGAGGAAGGGCAGAAAUAGUCAAAGUUCACUUUACAGACUCCAUUUUAACCGGAGGAAGAAGAUAUCUACCUUUAGCUCAACUCAAUUUGAAAACAUUUAGCUUGGUUAUGUUGGAUAGAAACGUGAGUCUUAUCUUGAGAAACAUGUUCUGAUGUGUGUACACAUCCGUGCUGUAAUUGAUUUAUUCAGAAAAGGUUGUUUCCCCAGGGGACGUAUUGCUACAAAAUGGCGGCAUAGUAAACAGGUACAGGGGGAGGAGUUUCAACACUUACACAGGUACAGGGGGAGGAGUUUCAACACUUACACAGGUACAGGGGAGGAGUUUCAACACUUACACAGGUACAGGGGGAGGAGUUUCAACACUUACACAGGUACAGGGGGAGGAGUUUCAACACUUACACAGGUACAGGGGGAGGAGUUUCAACACUUGCACAGGUACAGGGGGAGGAGUUUCAACACUUAAACAGUUCAAAUUAUGGAACACAUUACCCAUUAAUAUUAGGGAAGCAAACACGCUAGACACUUUCAAAAAGCAGCUUAAAACCUAUCUUUUUACCAAAGCAUUUUAUUAAUAUUAUUAAUUUUCUGUGGGGUUGAUACUAACUGUAACUUUCACUAUUUUUAUUAUUUCAGAAGGGUUUUAUUACUUUUAUUCCUUUUAUACCUUUUAUCCUGAUUUUAGUAAUUCAAGAAGCCUAUCGGAACAUCAGGUUCUGAUACGAUAUUAGUCAUUAUUUAACUCUAUGUAUUGCUCUUGCUGCUUGCUUUUAUUGAUUUUAUGUAAAGCACUUUGAACUGCAAUUCUUGUACGAAAUGUGCUAUAUAAAUAAAGUCUUACUUACUUACUUACAGGUACAGAGGGGGGGGGGUUCCUCCCAGCCAGGUUUAUAAAUCUGCUGUGGUCAGCCGCCUGAAGGAGAUUUUACUGAAAUGACAUGCAAUGCAUAUUAUUAAAACACCUUCAUAUCUGCAAAUCUGUUCCUGGACCUGGGAACAUGCAAAGACAUAGGAACUACAGGAAUGUUGUGUAUACUCGCCCUAUUAGGUGAAGUAUUUAGCAGACGUGACAUCCAAAGUGACAUAUAGUGCUGCUUGAAAGUAUGUGAAUCCCUUGAGCAGUUUAGAGUUUUUCUGUUGUUUUAC